GACGAACGCUGGCGGCGUGCUUAACACAUGCAAGUCGAACGGAAAGGCCCUGCUUUUGUGGGGUGCUCGAGUGGCGAACGGGUGAGUAACACGUGAGUAACCUGCCCUUGACUUUGGGAUAACUUCAGGAAACUGGGGCUAAUACCGGAUAGGAGCUCCUGCUGCAUGGUGGGGGUUGGAAAGUUUCGGCGGUUGGGGAUGGACUCGCGGCUUAUCAGGUUGUUGGUGGGGUAGUGGCUUACCAAGGCUUUGACGGGUAGCCGGCCUGGGAGGGUGACCGGCCACAUUGGGACUGAGAUACGGCCCAGACUCCUACGGAGGCAGCAGUGGGGAAUAUUGCACAAUGGGCGGAAGCCUGAUGCAGCAACGCCGCGUGCGGGAUGACGGCCUUCGGGUUGUAAACCGCUUUCGCCUGUGACGAAGCGUGAGUGACGGUAAUGGGUAAAGAAGCACCGGCUAACUACGUG
rnacentral:rRNA from 1 species